rnacentral:rRNA from 1 species
GACGAACGCUGGCGGCGUGCCUAAUACAUUCAAGUCGACCUUAGUGGCGGACGGGUGAGUAACACGUGGGAACCUACCCAUCAGAGGGGGAUACCACUUGGAAACAGGUGCUAAUACCGCAUAUGAUUGAUUGACCCUCGGUUCAUUAGCUAGUUGGUGAGGUCACGGCUCACCAAGGCCACGAUGCAUAGCCGACCUGAGAGGAUGAUAAGACACAAUGGAACGGAGACACGGUCCAGACUCCUACGGGAGGCAGCAGUGGGGAAUAUUGGACAAUGGGCGAAAGCCUGAUCCAGCCAUGCCGCGUGUGUGAAGAAGGUCUUCGGAUUGUAAAGCACUUUAAGUUGGGAGGCGUUACCAACAGAAGAAGCACCGGCUAACUUCGUGCCAGCAGCCGCGGUAAUAC